AAAGGCUGGCGGGUAAAACGGUGGCCUACCCUGAACGAGGGCGGAAGCUUGGUGUUGGCGUUCCCUUGUGGGACCCUGGCUGUAACUAGGAGCUGAUGAUUGGAAGAAUUUUUUUCAGACUAGCUUCUGGCUUCAUACAUUUUCAAAACUUGAUUGACUUCUACUCCCACACGCUUCCGGUCCUGGGUGCAGUAGGACACGUUUAGAUCCUGAUUUGAACACUGGCCUUGCACCUUCAGGUCACGACUUGAGGUGAGUCAGCCCAAUGGGCGGUUAAGAGAUUCCUGGAGCUAUUCCUUCAUCUGGGCGGCAGGUAAUAGCUGUAAUAGCUCAACCCUGGUUGGCAGUGUCUGUAAACUGUGUGGAUAGAUCCUAAACAGAGUGUUUCCCCAACUUAACUUCCCCUUAGCUGGAUUCCAAGAAUGCCUGUGGCCAUUCCAGGGCCAUCUGACUCGAGGGGCAAUGUGAAGGAGGGGAAGUCAGAGUGGAAGUAGCAGUUUUGGGGUCUGUGGCUGCCCUGCAGCAUAUGGAGUUCCCAGGUCAGGGGUCCAAUGUGAGUCGCCGUUGCGACCUAUGCCACAGCUGCGGCAAUGCCGGAUCCUUAAUCCACUGUGCUGGGCUGGGGAGGAUUGAACCUGCGUCCCAGCGCUCCAGAGAUGCUGCUGAUCCCGUUGCACCACAGUGGGAACUCCUAGGCAGCAGUCUUAAUCUACUGCAAUUAAAAUGUCUCACCUUUUCACAUUUUAUAAAAAUCAAAUGACCUUGGGAAUACACUAGGGCCUUGGAAGGGUCCUGGGGUGCAAGUGAGGGCCCUGAAGGUUGAGCUUCAUUAGCUCCACGGUAAAUGCAUCUCUGCCCUGCACAGAACAUGUACUCAAGCACAGUUAAAAUGAAGUAUAUAUUGAAUUGAAAACAUUCAUCAUGGUGCAACACGGUACAUGAACUAUGAUUAAAAAAAAAAAAUUCAAGUUAGGAACUACAUGUAGUCAAAAUUGAGCUUGCAGCCAUGUAUAAUGGCUUCUGUGGACUCCCAAGGAAUCUUGUGCCGCUGACAUCCUGGCCUGUGGUCCAGCUCCCCCUACCCUCCCAUCCUGUCCUGCUCUAAUCACACCCAGAGCUUCUGCUCAGUCCCUGCUCUCCCACCUCACUCACUGCCUCCAGCUGGGGUUUAGGAGGCCUCAGAACUGAGGGUUAAGCAGGAAUCUAUGUAUAUUUUAAAAUAUUAAAUCUAUUUCUGCACAGAAACAAUAUUUCAACCAGGGACUCAUAUCUGGACUUUUGGAACACAAACCAUCUAUGAAUGGAGAAUUUAAUUGUUAUUAUGGUUGAGAAAUGCUGCACUUAAUCCUGGUAGAGUUUUAAACCACUUGGAAAUAAUAACCAUAUAAUUUCUAAAGAGAGUAUUGUAGCUGAAAGGCAACCGAUAGAAUACCCAUUCCAAACUCCUCAUUUUCAGACGAGGAAACUGGGACCCAGGAGGUAAAGGCAGUUUCUCCAAAGAUGGAACUAAAUUGGUCAAGGUAGGCUAAGUGCUGUAAAAAAUUACCCUCCAAAUCUCAGUGGCCUACCCCAAUAAAAGUUUAUUCCUCUCUUUGUCUCAAUUUAGUGUGGGUCAGAGGUGGGGUGUGUGGGGGGGACCCUACUUCUCAGAGACUUCAUAGACCCAUCUAGAAGCUCUUAAAAACAUCUGGAACCAUUUCACUGAAGGCAAAUAAACACAUGAAAAGAUAUUAAACAUCAGUAGCCGUUAAAGAAAUGCAAACUAAGGCCACCACAAGCUCUCUCUAUACAUCUUAUUAGAACGGUGAAAAUAAAAACAUAUUAGGUGUUCCUUGAUGGCCUAGUGGUUGGAAAAUCGGCGUCCUCACUCCUGUGGCUGGGCUUCGAUCCCUGUCCUGGGAACUUCCACAUGCCGCAGAUGUGGCCAAACAAACAAAAAAACAACCCCCAAAUCCCAACAUAUUGACAACACCAAAUGCUUGGAAUUCUUGGAUGCAGAGAAAUUGAAUCUGUCAUGUAUUGUUGUGAGACUGUCAAAUGGUAUAGCCACUCUGGAAUAUAGUUUGGCAAAUUCUUAAAACAACAGCAACGACUAGAAUUAGGAGGAAUGAAGUUUAGCUGUUAAUGGAUAUAGAGUUUCUUUUGGGGGGACGAAAUGUUCUAAAAAUAGAUUAUGGUUAAAGAAAAUCGAUUGUGGUGAUGGUUUAUUCACACCCUCUAAAUAUACUAAAAAGAUUAAAUUGUACACCUUAAAUAGGUGAAUUGUAUGGUAUGUGAAUUAUAUAUCAACAAGUCUAUUUUUUUAAAAAUGAAUUCACUUACCAUAUGACCCAUCAAUCACACUCCUGAGCAAUUAUCCUGGAGAAAUGAAAACUUAUAUCCACACAAAACCUUUACGUGGAUGUUCAUAGUGGCUUUAUAUGUAAUAGCUAAAAACUGGAAACAACCAACAUGUACUCAAGCAAGUGAAUGAUUAAUCAAACUGAGGAACAUCUACAGCAUGGACUGGUACUCAACAAUAAAGAGGAAUGAACUGCUGAUACAUACACAACGUGGGUGGAUGUUGAAGCAUUAUGCUGAGUUAAAAGAAAUCUCAAGGGAGUUCCUGUCAUGGCUCAGAGGGAGUGAACCUGACUAGUAUCCAUGGGGACGUGGGUUCAGUCCCUGGCCUUGCUCUUGAGCUGUGGUGUAGGUUGCAGAGGUAGCAUUGCUAUGGCUGUGGUGUAGGCAGGCAGCUGCAGAUCUGAUUUGACCCCUAGCCUGGGAAUGUCCAUAUGCCUGGAAAGACAAAAACAAAAACAAAGCCAAACAAAAAAACCACCCCAAACUCAAAAAGAUAUAAACUAUAUACAAACCAUUUAUAUAAUAUUUUUGUAAUGAAAAAAUUACAGAAAAUGGAAAACAGAUUAGUGGUUUGCUAGAGUUAGGGAUGUAAGGGGGUGGAUGUGACCAUGGCAAGGUUAAUGGAGAUGUUUGUGAUGGUGGAAUAGGUCUGUAUUUUUUUUUUUUUUUGGCUGUACCUGUAGCGCGUGGCUGUACCUAUAGCAUGUGGAAGUUCCCAGGCCAGGGAUCCAAUCCAUGCUUUAAUUACAGCAAUGUCGGAUCCUUCACCUGCUGCGCCACAGGGGCACUUUCCUAUAUCUUUAUUAUAGUGGUGGCUACAUGAAUCUAUGUGCUAAAAUGUCACAUAACUAUAUACACACAUUGUACCAAUGUUAAUUUCCCAGUUUGGGCAGUGCAGUGUAAUUGUAUAAGAUGUAAUCACUAAGGGAAACAGUGAAGGGCUGAGGACACCUUGCUGUACCUUUGUGUGACUUCUUAUACAUCUCUAUUUCAAAAUAAAAA
ensembl:lncRNA